CCUCCUUAUACGAUUUAGAACUUAUUUGUUCGUAGUGUCCACACAGAUGAUUGUUAGUUAGUGAAACCCUUUGGGUUAACUAAUUAAUAUGCUCUUUAAAAAUUUGGAAAAGCUGAUAAUAAAAUUCGUAUGAAUGACAUUUGUUAUUUGUACAGAGUUUUCAAAAGUAAAAAAGAAUGAUAGCAGUAUCAUUCAGUGCCAAUUUAAUCCUCGGAUUAAUUGGUAUCUACUUUAGUAUUCAAUAUUAACUUCUGGCGAAGUUAAACUGUCACGAAACAAAGACCCGUUUGGGUUGUAUGGUUAAGUGACUAAGCGUACACGGUGGAUGCA
rnacentral:misc_RNA from 1 species